rnacentral:rRNA from 1 species
UGGGGUGCUCGAGUGGCGAACGGGUGAGUAACACGUGAGUAACCUGCCCUUGACUUUGGGAUAACUUCAGGAAACUGGGGCUAAUACCGGAUAGGAGCUCCUGCUGCAUGGUGGGGGUUGGAAAGUUUCGGCGGUUGGGGAUGGACUCGCGGCUUAUCAGCUUGUUGGUGGGGUAGUGGCUUACCAAGGCUUUGACGGGUAGCCGGCCUGAGAGGGUGACCGGCCACAUUGGGACUGAGAUACGGCCCAG